AUGAACGCUGGCGGCGUGCCUAAUACAUGCAAGUCGAGCGAACAGACGAGGAGCUUGCUCCUCUGACGUUAGCGGCGGACGGGUGAGUAACACGUGGAUAACCUACCUAUAAGACUGGGAUAACUUCGGGAAACCGGAGCUAAUACCGGAUAAUAUAUUGAACCGCAUGGUUCAAUAGUGAAAGACGGUUUUGCUGUCACUUAUAGAUGGAUCCGCGCCGCAUUAGCUAGUUGGUAAGGUAACGGCUUACCAAGGCGACGAUGCGUAGCCGACCUGAGAGGGUGAUCGGCCACACUGGAACUGAGACACGGUCCAGACUCCUACGGGAGGCAGCAGUAGGGAAUCUUCCGAAAUGGGCGAAAGCCUGACGGAGCAACGCCGCGUGAGUGAUGAAGGUCUUCGGAUCGUAAAACUCUGUUAUUAGGGAAGAACAAAUGUGUAAGUAACUAUGCACGUCUUGACGGUACCUAAUCAGAAAGCCACGGCUAACUACGUG
rnacentral:rRNA from 1 species